rnacentral:rRNA from 1 species
CCUACGGGUGGCAGCAGUGAGGAAUAUUGGUCAAUGGCCGAGAGGCUGAACCAGCCAAGUCGCGUGAAGGAAGACGGCCCUACGGGUUGUAAACCUCUUUUGUCAGGGAACAAAGCGAGUCACGUGUGACUCAUUGAGAGUACCCGAAGAAAAAGCAUCGGCUAACUCCGUGCCAGCAGCCGCGGUAAUACGGAGGAUGCGAGCGUUAUCCGGAUUUAUUGGGUUUAAAGGGUGCGCAGGCGGAGGGGCAAGUCAGCGGUAAAAUUGCGGGGCUCAACCCCGUAUUGCCGUUGAAACUGCAAGCCUUGAGUGCGCGAGAAGUAUGCGGAAUGCGUGGUGUAGCGGUGAAAUGCAUAGAUAUCACGCAGAACUCCGAUUGCGAAGGCAGCAUACCGGCGCGCAACUGACGUUCAUGCACGAAAGUGUGGGUAUCGAACAGGAUUAGAUACCCUAGUAGUC